rnacentral:pre_miRNA from 1 species
UUUUUAGUAUAAAUAUGUCCCAUGCAAUAUUUGGGACAUACUUAUAUCAAAA